AGCUUAUCGAGAGCGACCGAGGGACUAGGCCCUAUGACGUCCGGCAACCCCCUUAAUAGGGAAGGUGCCAAUUCCUGCAGAAUGUAUUACAUUCUGAAAGAUAAGUC
rnacentral:ncRNA from 2 species